ACUCAAAUGAAUAGACGGGGACCCGCACAAGCAGUGGAUCAUGUGGUUUAAUUCGACAAUAAACGGGGAACCUUACCCAGGCUUGACAUCCUACGAAUCUGGCGGAAACGUCGGAGUGCUCGCAAGAGAAUGUAGAGACAGGCGCUGCAUGGUUGUCGUCAGCUCGUGCCUUGAGGUGUUCGGUUAAGUCCGUUAACGAGCGCAACCCACGUCGUUAGUUACUAUGUCUAACGAGACUGCUCUAGUUAAUAGAGAGGAAGGUGUGGAUGACGUCAAAUCAGCAUGGCCCUUAUGCCUGGGGCUACACACAUGAUACAAUGGUCGGUACAAAGAGCAGCGAUCCAGCGAUGGUGAGCAAAUCUCAUAAAGCCGAUCUCAGUCCAGAUUGGAGGCUGCAACUCGCCUCCAUGAAGUUGGAAUUGCUAGUAAUCGUGAAUCAGAUAUGUCACGGUGAAUAUGUUCCCGGGUCUUGUACACACCGCCCGU
rnacentral:rRNA from 1 species